rnacentral:misc_RNA from 1 species
GCAACAAAAAAUAGUGUACAAAGGGUUGCUGGGAUAAUAGACAAAAAGAAAGGGGAAGAUUGCUUCAGUAGCUUUUGUGCUUUUAACCAUUAUUUAUUCUAUCUAGAAAAAAAAAAAAAAAAAAUUCAUUUGCUAUCUGUCUCAAGAAAGAGAGAUGGACCAUACAGUAUUAAUGGGUUUCCAGAUUCUGGAUAUUGGUCAAAGAUUUUAGGGAGCGAAAGAGAGAGAGAACUUGCUUCUCUUGUGGCUUGGAUUCUUGAUUCGAAUAAAGACAUGGGGCUAUAGAGCAUCAAGAUGAUUUCAUUUUUUUUUCCUUCUUUUUCCUUGUUGGGUGUUCUUUGGUUUUAGGGUAAUCUGUGUAUUGUUGUUUUAGAUUGCAAAAGCUUUGUUAGUGACUGAAAAAGAUUGAUGGGUAAGAAGAGGCCUCAAAAGAUCAAGGAACUUUCUGUAGCAAUAGCAGAAGCUUCAUCCACAGGAGACGAAACGCAGCAGCAACAACAGCCUCAGACUCCGAGAAAGAGAGGUAGACCACGAAAAAUCAUUGAAAGGACAGAAAGCGAAGAGAAAAAGGAAGAAGCAGCAACUGGAGAAGCACAACCACCGGAAGAAAUUAUUGGCAAUCAAUCAAAGAAAGCUAAAAUCAGCCAAGAAGAAGAAAAACAGCAAGAGAUAGAGGAGGCUGACGAGGGACCAUCGGCUUCUACUCGAGGGAAAAAGAAGGAAGAGGGACAAUCAGAAGAGAGGGAACCAGCACCACCAGCACCACCACCGCCACCACCAAGGAGAAGCAGCAGAAGGAAAAGCAAACCCAGAAAGAGCAGUUAGUAUCUGGAGAAAUUAGGGAAUGAAGAAGUUGAAACGGAAAAAAAAAAUCAGAAGAAUCAAACGAACUUUUCUUUUAAGAUUUUCAAUUGCUUUAAGCUUCUGAAUGGAUGUCAUGAUUUGUUGCUCCUUCU